UAAUACACAUGUAGAAAAUUGUUCACGACAACUUUGUUGAGGCAGUCAAGUUUGUAUUGGUUUUCCUCUUUUCCCUGUUGUCUAUAUUGCUUUGGCUUUAGUACUUAGUGGUUAGGCUGAUUUUUGUAGUCAGUACACUUAUAUGGGCUAGCGAAGAAAAUGGAUAUCACAGUUAUUACUUCCUCACAACGUCCUGCUUUAAUACCAUUUCAUUCCAUGGAAUUGCGGAUGAUUGAUGGCGAGGGUAAUUGGCAACUCCGUUUGAUCAAGCAAUGAUACUCUGGUAGGUAGUGUUGAUGCAGACUCUCAUAGUUAGAAUAUUUUGCGUUGUCUUGAACAUACUGGCUUAUCGUGAGCGUAAAUAAGGUUGGCCGAUGAUGGUAUCCCCAUUUUCUUCCAUUUUCGUGAGCGUAAACAAGGUUCAAGUUUUGCAGCACCAACCAAAAUGGUUGAUACGAAGUUGAAACAAAACUAUUUAUAGCUGCAGUAUAUUAAGAUCAAUCAUGUACAGUCUCCCCCUUAUAUUCCUAGGUAGUUGAUAUUUAUUCAUAUUUUGUAACCAUUGUUUUAAUAAUAAAAAAAAUAGCUUGAAAUAUAGUAGCUCUUUGAUA